rnacentral:rRNA from 1 species
CGGGACACGUGGUAUCCUGUCUGAAUAUGGGGGGACCAUCCUCCAAGGCUAAAUACUCCUGACUGACCGAUAGUGAACCAGUACCGUGAGGGAAAGGCGAAAAGAACCCCGGCGAGGGGAGUGAAAAAGAACCUGAAACCGUGUACGUACAAGCAGUGGGAGCCUCUUAAUGGGGUGACUGCGUACCUUUUGUAUAAUGGGUCAGCGACUUAUAUUCUGUAGCAAGGUUAACCGAAUAGGGGAGCCGAAGGGAAACCGAGUCUUAACUGGGCGUUAAGUUGCAGGGUAUAGACCCGAAACCCGGUGAUCUAGCCAUGGGCAGGUUGAAGGUUGGGUAACACUAACUGGAGGACCGAACCGACUAAUGUUGAAAAAUUAGCGGAUGACUUGUGGCUGGGGGUGAAAGGCCAAUCAAACCGGGAGAUAGCUGGUUCUCCCCGAAAGCUAUUUAGGUAGCGCCUCGUGAAUUCAUCUCCGGGGGUAGAGCACUGUUUCGGCAAGGGGGUCAUCCCGACUUACCAACCCGAUGCAAACUGCGAAUACCGGAGAAUGUUAUCACGGGAGACACACGGCGGGUGCUAACGUCCGUCGUGAAGAGGGAAACAACCCAGACCGCCAGCUAAGGUCCCAAAGUCAUGGUUAAGUGGGAAACGAUGUGGGAAGGCCCAGACAGCCAGGAUGUUGGCUUAGAAGCAGCCAUCAUUUAAAGAAAGCGUAAUAGCUCACUGGUCGAGUCGGCCUGCGCGGAAGAUGUAACGGGGCUAAACCAUGCACCGAAGCUGCGGCAGCGACGUUUAUGCGUUGUUGGGUAGGGGAGCGUUCUGUAAGCCUGCGAAGGUGUACUGUGAGGUAUGCUGGAGGUAUCAGAAGUGCGAAUGCUGACAUAAGUAACGAUAAAGCGGGUGAAAAGCCCGCUCGCCGGAAGACCAAGGGUUCCUGUCCAACGUUAAUCGGGGCAGGGUGAGUCGACCCCUAAGGCGAGGCCGAAAGGCGUAGUCGAUGGGAAACAGGUUAAUAUUCCUGUACUUGGUGUUACUGCGAAGGGGGGACGGAGAAGGCUAUGUUGGCCGGGCGACGGUUGUCCCGGUUUAAGCGUGUAGGCUGGUUUUCCAGGCAAAUCCGGAAAAUCAAGGCUGAGGCGUGAUGACGAGGCACUACGGUGCUGAAGCAACAAAUGCCCUGCUUCCAGGAAAAG